AGUGAAUAGAUACCCCGGUAGUCCAUGCCCUAAACGAUGAUUACUCGAUGUGUGCGAUAUACUGUACGCGUCUGAGCGAAAGCAUUAAGUAAUCCACCUGGGGAGUACGGCCGCAAGGCUGAAACUCAAAGGAAUUGACGGGGGCCCGCACAAGCGGAGGAGCAUGUGGUUUAAUUCGAUGAUACGCGCGGAACCUUACCAGGGCUUGAAAGUUAAGGAAUGAUGUAGAAAUAUGUCAGUCAGCAAUGACCUAAAACUAGGUGCUGCAUGGCUGUCGUCAGCUCGUGCCGUGGGGUGUUGGGUUAAGUCCCGCAACGAGCGCAACCCCUAUCAUUAGUUGCCAACAGGUUAAGCUGGGGACUCUAAUGAGACUGCCCGCGCAAGCGGUGAGGAAGGUGGGGAUGACGUCAAGUCAUCACGGCCCUUACGUCCUGGGCUACACACGUGCUACAAUGGCCGGUACAGAAAGCAGCUACACAGUAAUGUGAUGCUAAUCUCCAAAGCCGGUCUCAGUUC
rnacentral:rRNA from 1 species